UUGUACUGCCAUACUACCAUGAGUGCACCCCAUCUCAUCUGAUCUCAGAAGCUGAGCAGGUUCAGGCCAGGUUGUAAUUAGGAUGAGAGAAUGGGUAAACUGACAUCAAGUGACAAC
rnacentral:rRNA from 1 species